AACGAACGCUGGCGGCAGGCCUAACACAUGCAAGUCGAACGCAUCGCAAGAUGAGUGGCGCACGGGUGAGUAACACGUGGGAAUGUGCCCUUUGGUUCGGAAUAACGUCUGGAAACGGACGCUAAUACCGGAUGUCCCCUGCGGGGGAAAGAUUUAUCGCCAAAGGAGCAGCCCGCGUCUGAUUAGGUAGUUGGUGGGGUAAUGGCCUACCAAGCCGACGAUCAGUAGCUGGUCUGAGAGGAUGAUCAGCCACACUGGGACUGAGACACGGCCCAGACUCCUACGGGAGGCAGCAGUGGGGAAUAUUGGACAAUGGGCGCAAGCCUGAUCCAGCCAUGCCGCGUGAGUGAUGAAGGCCUUCGGGUUGUAAAGCUCUUUCGCACGUGACGAUGAUGACGGUAACGUGAGAAGAAGCCCCGGCUAACUUCGUGCCAGCAGCCGCGGUAAAAC
rnacentral:rRNA from 1 species